UUCAAUUUUAAACUUGUUUUGUCACGAAAACCUAUUUUUAAUUCAACUAUUCGAUUUUUUCAAGAAAUUUUUAAAAUUACUCAUGAUGAUAAUGUUGGCUUUUCUCCCCUAUGUGCGAUGCUGUCCGCUUUUUACAUGUUUUAUAUCUAGCUUUUUGCCAUGUCGUUUUCUAGAUAAUUAGACAAGAUAUUUUCGGUCUGCUUCUUAUUAGUCUUGGCCGCUGGAUGUUGGCCUUUGGCGGGAGGUGGUUUCCUACUUGCUGUUCCGACGCGACGCUACUACUAGUUGGCAAGUUUGGCUGCUCGUAGCUGAUGCUGCCGGGUACAUGAAAAAUGUCCAUCUUCGAAACGCGCGAGCGAUGUUACGCUCUGAAUGGGUUUCCAAUUUGCCCCACCGUUCCCCUCCGCGGGUUGUGUUGUAUAUGGCUCCGAGUUGGCAAUUAUUUUCUCGUGAGCCAAAGUCUCUUGGUCCAUGCGACCGACCGACAGCCUCAGUGUUGGUUGGUGGCACUCUGUUCGCGCUUGGCUGAAAAUUGACUGCUUCUUAAUUGAAUGUUUCGUGAUGCGAAAGAAUGCUGCUGAAACUUAGUUUUCCAAACAAUAAAUUGUGACAUUAUGGUAAAAUAGAGGUGCCAGUUGAAAACGAGGAUGAUUCAGAUGCUAGAAAUAAAUCACGCACAUUAGAUGUUGUUUCAAGUAUCUGACUUCUUAAAAUAAGUUUACUGAAACUUCAACUUUCCAAAGUUUCAUACAUGGUUGUUGAACACAUACAUACUUACUCCGGCGUAUUCCCUUAACGAUUAUCAACGUUUGUUAUUAUUAUUAUUUCUUAUCGUGACCAGUCACGUUUAAAUCAAUUUGUGGCCCUUUGGUAGAAAACAAUUACUCUUGAUAUCAAAAAGUAUUUAACCUCGCUUGAGCAGUGCCACUCGUCAUUUCCAAAACAACACCACAACUAUGAAGAUCUUUGUUUUCCUAACAUCGUUGGCCCUAUUGGUGCUUAGCAUUACAGCAUCACAUCCCGUGAAUAAAGAUGAAGCAGGCACCCCGGUUGGUCAAGACUGCAAGCAGCCCGGCAAGGUGUACAAAUUCAGCAAGGACAUCGUAUGCGUUUGCAACAAAGCUAAAAUAAACCAAAGCUGCCGGCGGGAGGAUCGCAGGCGAAGGCAUGCAUUUUUAAAGUUCUGAAAAAAAGGCAGCUGGAAUUGAGUCCCUCACAACAAGGGCGACAAUCAGGACUGAAUAAAAAUGAACGAGCAGAGCACA